rnacentral:misc_RNA from 1 species
AACGCAUAUUGCGCCCUUUGGCAUUCCGAAGGGCAUACCUGUUCGAGCGUCAUUACACCCCUCAAAGAUAACUCUUUGGCGUUGGACAAUGCCUAAACGCAUGUCUCAAAAUCAGCGAUGGUGAUAUUCAGCCACAGGCGCGCAAACGUCGUCUAGCUGGCGGGACGUUGCCAGUCAAUUGAUGAAUUUCUCAAUGUUGACCUCGGAUCAGGUAGGAAUACCCGCUGAACUUAA